AGGAUCCCGGCACAGCUUUAGCAGCCGAUCAUCCCGGCGAGGAGUGCUGGCGAAGAGUAUCCAACCUGGAGCUCCUCUCGCCUUCUAUCCUACACACACAAACACACAC